AAAUGACUUUUGAACUUAGUGGCGGACGGGUGAGUAAUGCAUGAGCAACCUGCCCUGCAGUGGGGGACAACAGUUGGAAACGACUGCUAAUACCGCAUGAUGUAUCUGAAAGGCAUCUUCCGGAUACCAAAGAUUUAUCGCUGUGGGAUGGGCUCAUGUCUGAUUAGUUAGUUGGUGGGGUAACGGCCUACCAAGACUGCGAUCAGUAGCCGGACUGAGAGGUUGAACGGCCACAUUGGGACUGAGAUACGGCCCAGACUCC
rnacentral:rRNA from 1 species